CCAUGAGCAGAACUGGAGAAGGACAAUCAGGACUCCUGGUGGCCUCCAGAUGCUAAGAGUACAGCACCACUGUGAUCUGUUACUGCAGGUAACUCUCUUAUUAAUUGUACAUCUUUACCAGAUGUACAAUUGGAGGAGAAAAUGAAGCUUUAAAUCAAACUUUUUCUUUUUCCUGUAAACUGACCUGAGUGAAUUUGACAAAUAUUGGUGAUAAUAAAAAUAAAGAUUUUUUAGUACCAUCUAGAUGUCCUUAAGAGAGAUACCCAAAUAUUCUAAACAAAGUCCAAGUUUGGUCUUGAACCAAAGACUUCCAUGCAUUCUCCUCUGAAUUUUAAUUGAAACACAAAUUAAGACAAUGCAUGAGACAGCUACAAACUGCCCAUCAGGCCCUGAGAAUCAGCUGUGAUUCAAAGAUCAUCCUCUGGAUCUCACUGCUUCCAAAAAGUAGGUGGUAGUUUAGCAAAAUAAGGGUACCUAGGAUGUACAGAAGAUGUCAACAAAGACAUACAGAACUGGAAUUUUUGUGUUCUUUUUUUUCUAGUAUUUUUAUUAAAAUAUGAGGGACUGUAUCAGAGAGCAUUUAAUGCAAUCUCUUUAUGUGAUAAAAAACAAAAAUAAGAUUUCCAAGAAACCAGCCUAAACUGGUUUCUAACUUCAGUUGAUGGUAACUAUAGACAAAGUCAUGUUCAGUGUAAGUUAGCCUUCCUGUACUUAUUUCAUGCAAGAGUAAUUGGGCUUCAUGCAGAGUGAGACCAGGGAAUCUGGCAGGAUUCCCUUCACAAAGCUACUGCCCAAGAGAUAGGCUUUUACUUGUUUGAUACAGAAUAGCUGUUGUCUCUGUGAAAACAGAUACGUGUUAUAUUCUUGUACAAGUAGGAGUUCUGGAAACUCAUUUAAAGUUGUCCCUGUGGUUUAAAAAGGAAAUAUUGAUCUAUUUUAAACUUUCAAAAUUAAGUUGACUUUAAUAGCAGUGAUUUUAGUGUCACAUGGAAAAAAAUUACUUUGAACAAGCUUUGAAUACCUCUUUGUUGUCAAUAAUUUAUGAUUCAUAACUGAAAUAUACUUCUAUAUUUAAUGCUCAGAAUAAAUAUGGGAUCUCUAACAAGAAAAAAGAACAAAUUUGAGGAGUGAAUGGUACACACUGUUAAUAUGAUACAAAGAACUUGGACCCUUGGGAACUAUUUUUCAACCCUAAAAAUACCAACAAGGUGGUGUGAUCUAAGAGUGGUAAAAGCAAAAUAAAUCUAAGAGCUUGAAACUGACUUUCUAUUCUGAAGAAUAUAAAUUGCUGCAGCUUCUUGUUGAGAAAGAGCCUCAAGAUUAGAACAGAGAAAAUUAAAUUAUGUUCCUGUUCCUUUGGCUACUGGGAGGAUUGUGUUUUAGAGAUGGUUUUAAAGGUACAUGGUCACUCUUAAAGGGUAUUUCCUUAUGGCUGAGAAACUCUGGGUGCAAAUGAAGAAGAAGGAAGCUUUAUGUGCAUUGCAAGCCAAGCAAGUGAAAGUCCUUGUCUGUUUAUCCAUUUGCUAAUCACCUCCUGCCCCUGUUGAUCUACAAACAUCCAUGCAUGAAUACAGAUGUAUCCAUUUUGCUGGCCUCUGUGAGAAGAGGCUUAGGCUGCCUCCCCUUGCCGGACACAUCCAAUUCCACCUGUCUUCAAUGAACCCAAAGCAGGGCACAGCUGAGCUUAUCAGCAACGAUAGUGGUGCCUCUGGGAAAAUGUAUUUAAGCAAAGGCAGAAAACACCACAUGGGCAGAGGAAACAAAAACAGAGGGAGCACAAAAGUCAAAGGAGGAGGCAGUACUCCAUGAGAGGAUAGGUUUUCCUUCUUGCCUGUGGGUGAACUGCACCAGAGAAUGUUUAUUCUUAUACUUAGUCCUGCUAUCUUUUCAAUGAGAAAAUACCAACAUGAGCCAACCUGAAGUAUUUUACUACUCAUAUAUGUUUAACAAACAUGAUUGAAAAGCAUGAGAAAGAACAGGAAUUUUAUGGGAUCUGAAAGUAAAAUAUUGUAAAAAGUCACAUUAGAAUGAAAUGUGCUGUCGUCAGAAGCCAUGAAGUGCAUCAUAAAAUGCCACAUGCUGGCCCUACCAGUAACAGAUGCAACUCCAGGACUUGAGCAAGGUGUCCUUGCUCAGACCAGAGUUGGUGCCUUGAAAUAUUAAGAAAAAUUGUCUCAUAAAAAUUAUAUCAGAAGGGAAAACAGUAACUCAUAAUAAAAUUCCAAAUUGAAAUCCACUUAAAAGGGUCCCAGUAAGCCUCUCUAUAAUACCUCUGGACCCAAUUUCUUGAAAAAUUCAAGAAAUAUAGAUGUAGAUAACCAAACAGAUACUAGAUUUUGGUUUCUACAGUAAAACUGUUUUCAGCUUGGGGAAAUAUAUGUAAGCAAAUAUGUGAAAGUAAAGACUUCAAAACAGACAGGAGUGAGCUAUUGAAAGUAUAAGGCUAUUACUAAAUUUCAGGCUAUGAUUACAGUUGUGCAUGUAGGAAUUACAAUAAGCUACUGGUAGUAAAAGAAAAAAAAAAGAAAUAAAUAAUGCAAUUUAAUUGGAAUAGUUUAUUAUCUCAUGGAAUUAUAUUAGCUAAAAAUGUGUAAGUAUUUUAAAGAACUUAUCAUUGCUUCCAAAAUAUUUAAGAAAAUACCAGAAGCUGCAAAGUUUUUACUGCAGCGAUCCCGUGGGUGAUGAUGACAGAAGCCCUCUUUUCAAGGGCUGUGACUUUCAUGUGUGCCAAACCAAAUUUACUUCAGUUAACAUAAAAUUAAAUUAAAGCAGAUAAUAAACUAUGUGCAGAAGUGGAUCUUGAUGAUGGACUGUGAUUGCUGACUUACAAACCAAGGCUCAAAAUUUUAUUGUAGCUGUAAUUCUCCAGGAAGAAUGUUUAGUCUAUUAACCUGCAUGUGUGAAGUGCAAAUUCUUCAGCAGAAGUCCUCUGCUAACACUUCACAAUCGUACAUAGGUUUUCAAGUUGUAAGGAAGAGAUUAUUCUUGAAAAUGUUCGCAUGGGCCUUUUUGGCAAGAGUCAGGAGUAGGAAAGGAGCUGAAAUGUGGUAGUCACAAUUCAUUUAAUCACAAGACAAGUUUCUGAUGUAAUGUAAUCCAAUAAAAUGUGGUAUGACUCCACUGCUGUCAAUUAAGGAGUUAGUGUGAAGGUUCCACAAGAACAUGGGGAAAUACUUGUAUUUAUAAACUGAAUUAAAUAUGAUAAUGAGAACAUCCCCUCUGAGUCUAACAAUAUGAUUUGUUGAUUGAUAUCCAAGAACAAACUUUAUAGAAACAUGCACAAAAGGAUUUCUACAUAGAAAUCAGCAGUAUUUUAUGAAGAAGGAUUCUGUCACAGAUCACAUUUUUUACUCCUACUGUAUAAAAAUGGACACUCUGGACAAGAUAAUGAAUGAAUGAUUAAAGACACUACUAAAGUAGCAAAGUACAAUCAUAUUUUAACAGUACUUUUCUUGACCUCUUAGAUGUACAAAAAAGUUUUAUUAAUAGAAAAAUUGAGUUUAUUACCAGAAAUGUUAACAUUUUAGAGGGAUGCCAUCAAUUGCUUUAUAAUCAACCAUCAAGUGUUUGUCUUGACAUUUCUAUAAAUUGUUCUGUUAAUACAAAAGUUUGCAUUAGAAAAAUACAAUUAGAACACAGUUUUUAAAAGCAUGAAAUUUAAGUCCAUCAGAAAAGUAAUAAAACUGUUAACACUGUAUUGCAGUUUUUAAUUGUACAAUCCAUUGUAUAAUUUGUUAAAUUGUAAGAGAAAUAUACGGGCUAUGAUUACAAUAUCAAAUUUGAUUAAAGUAAGAAGUUCAUAUUAUGCAACCCAAACCUAGUAAGUUAAAAAAAUAUAUACAUUUUAUGUGUCCUAGUUCCAGCGGAUUUAUAUAAUAUUUGCCUGGAUUUCCUUUCUUUCUUACCUGUUAUGAUGGAGGAGUGAGUCAGAGACAGAGACAACACACACCCCAGAAUUCUCAUGCAACAGCAGUGUAUUUUAUUCUUCCUACCUCCUUAAACAGGAGGAUUUGAAUCUCCUGGUCCAGACAACUCAUUGGUCUGGCUUAAGCACUGCCCAGCCCUGGCCAGUGAGAUGUCUGCAGCUUAGGGUGGAACAUAAUUGUGUGAAGUCCCUGUGUGUAUUGAAAUCUACCCCAUCAUAGCUUAACCCAGGGGCUGGUUUAUGGAACCAGGCUGGGUUAUUUAUAAUCAAAUUAUUUGCCUAGUACAAGCUAGCUGUAACACACCUUCAUCCAUUUG